AGUAGGUUCAUUAAAAUUAACAAGAAGAAAGAAUUUGAAGGAGCCCAGAGUGACAGUUUCCCGAUGGUCGUUGUUCUAUUUAACACUGUAAUAGGACAGCAACAUUGUGGGAAAAGACACAG